UAACCGGAUACGACCUACGCAGACAUCUGCGCGGGUGGAAGAUUCAUUGGCGAGGGAUGGGCCCGCGGCCUAUCAGCUUGUUGGUGGGGUAAUGGCCUACCAAGGCGACGACGGGUAGCCGGCCUGAGAGGCGACCGGCCACACUGGGACUGAGACACGGCCCAGACUCCUACGGGAGGCAGCAGUGGGGAAUAUUGCGCAAUGGGCGAAAGCCUGACGCAGCGACGCCGCGUGAGGGACGACGGCCUUCGGGUUGUAAACCUCUUUCAGCAGGGAAGAAGGGAAAACUGACGGUACCUGCAGAAGAAGCACCGGCUAACUACGUGCCAGCAGCCGCGGUAAUACGUAGGGUGCAAGCGUUGUCCGGAUUUAUUGGGCGUAAAGAGCUCGUAGGCGGUCUGUCGCGUCGGAUGUGAAACCCCGGGGCUUAACUCCGGGCCUGCAUUCGAUACGGGCAGACUAGAGUGUGGUAGGGGAGACUGGAACUCCUGGUGUAGCGGUGAAAUGCGCAGAUAUCAGGAAGAACACCGGUG
rnacentral:rRNA from 1 species